CUAGUACAGAGACUACAAGUCCUAUCAGUGGCGGAACUGCAAAAGGAGCAAUUACCGCAAGCAUAGUCACACAUGGUGUGGUUUAAGAUAACAUUCAUCGGGGUGUUUUUAAAUGAAAAGAGAAAGUGUUACUCUUGGUUUUUAUUUCAAGUAAAAUGGGACAUCCCUGCGCAUGAAGGUCCCUGUGCGUUGUUGUCAAGGCAACGUCACUAGUCCGGGGCCGGUGAUGGGCGGAGCGGAGAAGAGGUCCUCAUGGUGAAAAUGGACAGCCAAGAACGACUAACCCUCCCCACUGGACGGUCCCUGCAGCAUAGAUGGCCUGGACCAGCUCACCAUAACUUCCCGCCGAGGGGAGCUGCUGUUUGUAUGUAACCACAUGAUAUUUUCUGAAGAGUCAGAUUCUGUUUGGAUAGGACCAGGGUUCAACAGCCAAGAUCUCCAGUGCCCUGAAUCUGUUUGGCCAGAAUUGGUCUUUAAUGAAGAAAAAAAAAACAACAACAAA